rnacentral:rRNA from 1 species
AGCAGUAGCCGCGGUAAUACAGAGGGUGCGAGCGUUAAUCGGAUUUACUGGGCGUAAAGCGUGCGUAGGCGGCUUUUUAAGUCGGAUGUGAAAUCCCUGAGCUUAACUUAGGAAUUGCAUUCGAUACUGGGAAGCUAGAGUAUGGGAGAGGAUGGUAGAAUUCCAGGUGUAGCGGUGAAAUGCGUAGAGAUCUGGAGGAAUACCGAUGGCGAAGGCAGCCAUCUGGCCUAAUACUGACGCUGAGGUACGAAAGCAUGGGGAGCAAACAGGAUUAGAUACCCCAGUGUCCCUGUCUCUUAUACA